rnacentral:misc_RNA from 1 species
UGCCCUUGACAUCCUGGGAAGGUCCUGGAGACAGGACUGUGCCUUCGGGAACCCAGUGACAGGUGCUGCAUGGCUGUCGUCAGCUCGUGUCGUGAGAUGUUGGGUUAAGUCCCGUAACGAGCGCAACCCUUGUCCUUAGUUGCCAGCACGUAAUGGUGGGGACUCUAGGGAGACUGCCGGUGACAAACCGGAGGAAGGUGGGGAUGACGUAAGCCUAUCGAGA